rnacentral:rRNA from 1 species
GCUUAACACAUGCAAGUCGAGGGGCAGCACAGGUAGCAAUACCGGGUGGCGACCGGCGCACGGGUGAGUAACGCGUAUGCAACUUGCCUAUCAGAGGGGGAUAACCCGGCGAAAGUCGGACUAAUACCGCAUGAAGCAGGGGCCCCGCAUGGGGAUAUUUGCUAAAGAUUCAUCGCUGAUAGAUAGGCAUGCGUUCCAUUAGGCAGUUGGCGGGGUAACGGCCCACCAAACCGACGAUGGAUAGGGGUUCUGAGAGGAAGGUCCCCCACAUUGGUACUGAGACACGGACCAAACUCCUACGGGAGGCAGCAGUGAGGAAUAUUGGUCAAUGGGCGCGAGCCUGAACCAGCCAAGUCGCGUGAGGGAUGAAGGUUCUAUGGAUCGUAAACCUCUUUUAUAAGGGAAUAAAGUGCGGGACGUGUCCCGUUUUGUAUGUACCUUAUGAAUAAGGAUCGGCUAACUCCGUGCCAGCAGCCGCGGUAAUACGGAGGAUCCGAGCGUUAUCCGGAUUUAUUGGGUUUAAAGGGUGCGUAGGCGGCCUUUUAAGUCAGCGGUGAAAGUCUGUGGCUCAACCAUAGAAUUGCCGUUGAAACUGGGGGGCUUGAGUAUGUUUGAGGCAGGCGGAAUGCGUGGUGUAGCGGUGAAAUGCAUAGAUAUCACGCAGAACCCCGAUUGCGAAGGCAGCCUGCCAAGCCAUUACUGACGCUGAUGCACGAAAGCGUGGGGAUCAAACAGGAUUAGAUACCCUGGUAGUCCACGCAGUAAACGAUGAUCACUAGCUGUUUGCGAUACACUGUAAGCGGCACAGCGAAAGCGUUAAGUGAUCCACCUGGGGAGUACGCCGGCAACGGUGAAACUCAAAGGAAUUGACGGGGGCCCGCACAAGCGGAGGAACAUGUGGUUUAAUUCGAUGAUACGCGAGGAACCUUACCCGGGUUUGAACGCAUUCGGACCGAGGUGGAAACACCUUUUCUAGCAAUAGCCGUUUGCGAGGUGCUGCAUGGUUGUCGUCAGCUCGUGCCGUGAGGUGUCGGCUUAAGUGCCAUAACGAGCGCAACCCUUGCCACUAGUUACUAACAGGUAAAGCUGAGGACUCUGGUGGGACUGCCAGCGUAAGCUGCGAGGAAGGCGGGGAUGACGUCAAAUCAGCACGGCCCUUACAUCCGGGGCGACACACGUGUUACAAUGGCGUGGACAAAGGGAAGCCACCUGGCGACAGGGAGCGAAUCCCCAAACCACGUCUCAGUUCGGAUCGGAGUCUGCAACCCGACUCCGUGAAGCUGGAUUCGCUAGUAAUCGCGCAUCAGCCAUGGCGCGGUGAAUACGUUCCCGGGCCUUGUACACACCGCCCGUCAAGCCAUGGGAGCCGGGGGUACCUGAAGUCCGUAACCGCGAGGAUCGGCCUAGGGUAAAACUGGUGACUGGGGCUAAGUCAUA